GACGAACGCUGGCGGCGUGCUUAACACAUGCAAGUCGAGCGGUAAGGCCCUUUCGGGGGUACACGAGCGGCGAACGGGUGAGUAACACGUGGGUGACCUGCCCUCAGCUCUGGGAUAAGCCUGGGAAACCGGGUCUAAUACCGGAUAUGACUCCAUGACGCAUGUUGUGGGGUGGAAAGCCUUGUGCGGCUGAGGAUGGGCCCGCGGCCUAUCAGCUUGUUGGUGGGGUGAUGGCCUACCAAGGCGACGACGGGUAGCCGGCCUGAGAGGGCGACCGGCCACACUGGGACUGAGACACGGCCCAGACUCCGUACGGGAGGCAGCAGGUGGGGAAUCUUGCGCAAUGGGCGAAAGCCUGACGCAGCGACGCCGCGUGAGGGAUGACGG
rnacentral:rRNA from 1 species